ACACACACACAUAUACAUACAUAUAUUGUUUAAGCAGUAAACAAUAUAUGUAUGUAUGUAUGUUUGUGUGUGUGUGUGUGUGU